UGGGAUCGAUAAUCCCGGAAUGCUGUGAGACGUUUAAGACCACUCGUAUUCCUCUCGGGAGGCUUAAAAGCUACAUGGCAGCUCCAUGGUGCUCGACUCCCGCUGUCAUAUUCGUCAACCGGAGGGAUAUGAAGAUUUGCACCAAAGCCGGCGACGGAUGGGUCAAAAACUGCAAUGAAGUAUCUGGACAGCAAACACAAGAAGUGAGAGACGAAGUGAAAUCUCUGCAUUCCAACAGACUGCCAAGAGUCGUCCCUGAAAGUCCGUUCCAUUCCCUCAGACCCACUGGUGUGGAUAAAAGCGUCGGCAUUGAGUCCACAUCCCACACAGGUCGGAUUACUGCCUGGUGCGUUGUAGAAUUGGACAUCAUAAAGCAUUCACUCGUUCUCCUUAUCGACGAUAUAACCUGUAUAUUAUGUUAAUUUAUUUGUAGUUCUUGCAAUUAUCUUCUUUUAUUUGUCGAGUUGCAGUGUUAAUAAACUUUGAACAUGCGGUUAA